rnacentral:rRNA from 1 species
AUGUAUAGAACUUUGAUCCAGUCAAAUGUGCCAGUUGAUAAUAAUAAGAAGAUUUGGAGGAUGAAGAUACCACUUAAGAAUAAAAUCGCGUGGUUUCUUCGUUGAGGAGUCAUUCUUACCAAAGAUAACCUUAUUAAGAGGAAUUGGCAUGAAAGUACGCAGUGUGUUUUUUGUCAUCACGAUGAAACAAUAAAACACAUGUUUUUCCAAUGCAAUUUAACUCGUUCUAUAUGGGUAGUCAUCCAAAUAGCUUAUGGCUUGUAUCCUCCACAUAGUGUUGCUAAUAUAUUUGACAACUAG